CGUGGGGGCGUAAGCAGGCGCGGCCCCGGGAGCCCAGGGCGCAGGCGCAUAACCAGGGCCGCGCAGGGUCUGCGGAUCCGCGGCGGUCGCGGUCUCCGCUGCUGGGAUGGAGGUGAGGGGCCGCGAUGCUGUGAGGUUGUUUGAGUUCCCCACGGACGAGGCGCUCCCUUCUCCUUCCGUGGCUAGCGACUGGGGGAGGUCACCCGGGACCGAAAUUCUGCAUUGAGGUGGCUGCAGUCAGAGGCGCGCAGAUUGGGAAGUUGGCCAUCAUGUAUAUAGAGAGGUUGAGAACUGCUCGGUACUCUGCGAAGGACUCGUGUGAGGUUUUACAACUCUUCUUCCAGCAAACCACAAAGAGUAUUUAAGAACAACUAGGAACACCGUGGGCUGUUCUUUGUGGACAGGGUACCAGGUGGCUCUAUGCAACCACAGAGAAGGGCAGGAGUGAUGAAGCAUCACGCCCGAGAUGAAGCCGAAAGACUACAGCUUCCACCUCUUCAACAUCACUCCCUCUGGGGAAACCAGCUGCCGUGUUGGGAGGAUACUCAGGGAACCUCUGGAGAAACCCCCCAGGGUGCAGAACUGAGGCUUCCAACACUGAUGAUGCAAGUGAGCCCCCCAAGGAGGCAGCCUGGGCUGGCAGUGCAAACCGAGGCCCUGAAGGGGCCCUGAGCCAACAGCACUCAGUCUCGCUGCUCCCAGAUUCUGACUCGCAGAAACUGGGUCAUAAUAAAUGUUUGCUGUCUCGGGCUGCUGAGUUUUGGAGUUCUCUGUUACACAGCAACAGACAAGUGCUCUUCCUUAAGAGAGUCCUGUGGAAAAGAAUAACUUAAAUAGGAGAGGUUUUAAGAGCCCAAUUUCUCAAAAACAUUAAGAAAUAAAGUAGUUCUGACCCAGCUGCA